rnacentral:rRNA from 1 species
UUAAAGUAUGAUGCUAUCUAUGGUCAUGCCCGAUCCCGUCUGAUCUCAGAAGCUAAACAGGGUCAGGCCUGGUUAGUACUUGGAUGGCAGACCACCUAGGAAGACCAAGUGCUGUAGG